rnacentral:rRNA from 1 species
AUUGAACGCUGGCGGCAGGCCUAACACAUGCAAGUCGAACGGUAACAGGAAGCAGCUUGCUGCUUCGCUGACGAGUGGCGGACGGGUGAGUAAUGUCUGGGAAACUGCCUGAUGGAGGGGGAUAACUACUGGAAACGGUAGCUAAUACCGCAUAACGUCGCAAGACCAAAGAGGGGGACCUUAGGGCCUCUUGCCAUCGGAUGUGCCCAGAUGGGAUUAGCUAGUAGGUGGGGUAACGGCUCACCUAGGCGACGAUCCCUAGCUGGUCUGAGAGGAUGAACAGCCACACUGGAACUGAGACACGGUCCAGACUCCUACGGGAGGCAGCAGUGGGGAAUAUUGCACAAUGGGCGCAAGCCUGAUGCAGCCAUGCCGCGUGUAUGAAGAAGGCCUUCGGGUUGUAAAGUACUUUCAGCGGGGAGGAAGGGAGUAAAGUUAAUACCUUUGCUCAUUGACGUUACCCGCAGAAGAAGCACCGGCUAACUCCGUG